AAGCACAUUGCAAUCAUUAGUCGCAUGAGAGAAAGUAUUAUGAAAUUUGCAAUAAGCUCGCCGCUUUAAUUCUUCAAGCGGCGGUAUGACAUGCGAUAUCUUGAUGUAUCCAUUCUUAUAUAAUUCAUCAAAUAUCCUAUCACAUUUGGAUAUAUCAAAAGCAAAUCUUUCUUGCCAAUCAUUAUGAAUCGGCUUAAGAGAACCGCAAACGCAAGGUUUAUCAUUGGAGGGCCAAACAAAGUCAGCGGUAUAAAUAUAUUUACCUUCAUCGUCCAAACCAUUGGAAUCACACCCAAGCACAUAAACAGAACGAUUAGGUUUUUCAUUGGACUUUUGAGAGUCUCUAGCUUCUUUAGCUCGGCUUUCAUUAGCCAGAGCCUUUUGUAGGACUUGACUAACAUCUAGGAACUGUUGUCCCUCUAGAUUUGCUUUAUGAAAAUCAAGUAAACCAGCAAAAGCUAGAUCAGCCAAAUCUCUAUCAGAAAUUGUCAAACUAUAACAUUGGUUUCUAGUAUCUCUAAAUUUUCUAAUAUACUCAGAAACACCUUCAUGUAUUUUUUGUUUAACCGAUGAAAGAUGUGACAAUCUCAAUUCAGUUUCACCAGUAAAGAAAUAAUCAUGGAAUUUCUGCUCUAAAUCAGCAAAAGUGAAAACUGAAUUAGGUGGCAAUGAAAUAAACCAAGUAAAUGCAGCACCCGAUAGAGAUAAAGGAAAUAACCUCAAUUUUUAAAUGUCAUUAGUGCUAGCUUCACUAUAUUGUAUAAUAAAUUGACCAAUAUGCUCCAAUAUAGUUCUACUAUCAUCACCAGUGAAUUUAACAAAUUCAGGAAUUUUAAACCCUUGAGGAUAUGCAACAUAAUCGUAAUUCUCAGGGUAUGGUCUUUGAUAAGUUCGGCAUUUGGCUUUAGGUUCUAUACCAAAGGUUUGCCGAAAUAUCUUCAUCACCUCUUCUUUAAUACUACAUGAUCCAACAUCAUCAGCAUUAGGCCGAUUUGUGAUCGCUGUACUAGUAGGUUGAGCAAAGGUCGGCGGUGUAGAAUGUCGCAACGAACUUGCUGCCCUAUAUGGCACAUUGACAUUAGGUGAUGCAUUAUAAUUAAUUCGACUAUGCUGAUUAGCCGAAUUAGUCGCAAUAGCAUUAUUAGUUAGAAUUGCCGAACCACGCAUCGUCUUAUCGGUAUUAGAUGUAGAUGUAUUAUUACCGACAGACUUCAUACCAAGAUGUAUUUCAAUUCGGCUAAAACGGUCAUCAAACAUAUCAUGCAUAUUUUGACCAAUAAAUUCCAACUUAUUAUUUACAUGAGAAGCAACAACACUAUCUAUCAUAUUAGUUACUUCUGAAUCAAAAGCAGACUGUUUAUCCUCAUCAAAUUUUACCUCAAAUUGUGAAGCAUCGAAGGCGUCAUCCGUCAUGAUCUUCCCUUGUCGGUCGAUGGAGAAGUGCGAGAUGUACUGGUUCAUGGCUUCUUCUUCUAGCCUCUGGAUCUCCUUCUCUUCUCUUCUCUGAUCUUCUUCUGGAUGUCAUCAAGAAUCUUCUGAUGCUCAGCCGGAAGUUGUUGAACAUUCGGCCUCCGGAUAUUGGCAGAAUCAACUUCACUAGGUUUAGGAAUACCGGUCAUGGCAACCAAUUUAUUUUUUUCUUCCCCAGCGGAGUCGCCAAAAUAUGUUGGCGCAGAACUAGAGCCAACACACGAAAACGCUUGAACGCGCAGCGAGCGACGGCACAACGCAGCGCUGAUGCUUAGACCGGUCAGACCGGUUGGGUAUACCGGUCAGACCGGUUGUCGCCGGACAGGCCGGCGGCGAAACCAACGAACGUCGCCCGGGAAGGAUUCGUCGGGGCAGGCGCACGCAGGGUUGUUCUAGGGUCGGCAGGCCACCUAGAACGCCCUCAAUCGACGUAGAGACGAAGGAGGAACAACAGAUAGUAUAUGGGAAAAAGCUAGGGUAAAAAGAAAGUAAAAAGAUAAAAGUUUUUGUAUUUGAUCGAUUGGAUACCCUAAUCGGCCGUGACCCUUUAUAUUUAUAGGGUGGGGUGGACUUAUCCCGCAAGAAAUGCUAUUACAAGAUCUAAAUCUAUUAAAAACCCUAGUUGUACUCGGAUUCCACUUGGACCGGUCAGACCGGUCGACCCUACCGGUCAGAUCGGUCGGCUGCUGCCGGACCGACUACAGCGUCUGACCGGUCAGACCGCUAGGGCGUACCGGUCUGACCGGUCGGUAUUGUCGAAUGCCAAUUUUGGUCGUCAACAGGUAUAACUUUUGGGGAUGGUGAUACUUUUAAGAAAUCUAUUAGGCAGUAUGCAAUAAAAGGUGAAUAUAAAAUUGCAACUUCCUAUUCUGAGUCAACAAAGUAUAGAGGUUAUUGUAAAGCUGAAGGGUGCAAGUGGACGAUACAUGUAUCACAAUUGCAGGAUGAAAAGACUUGGAAGAUAAAGAAGAUACCUGAACCACACACUUGCCAAAGCACUGGAAAGGUUGAAAAGAACAACAUGGCAAGUAAUCAUUGGGUUAGAGAGAGGGUUCUUGAUUGGCUUGCAAAGGAUCCUACAAUUGGGGUUAAAGCACUUAAAACCCGACUAGAAGAAUAGUAUUACUUGCAACUAUCAUAUUGUGUGGUAUGGGAUGGAAGAAAUAUGGUGGAACAACUCAAAGGGAAGUGGGAUGAUAGCUUUGAGCAUACUUUUAGUUUCAAGGCUGAGAUAGAGAAAACAAAUUCUGGAAGCCUUGUGGACAUUAAAUAUGAGGAAGUUGGGAAAAAAAUGAGAUUAACAAGAAUGUUUAUUGCCUUGAAAGCCUGUGUGGAUGAUUUUUUAAAUGGCUGCAGGCCUUUCCUUUGGCGUGGAUUCCACACAUUUGACUGGAAAAUGGAGGGGCCAACUUGCAUAUGCAACUGCUAUUGAUGGGCACAAUUGGAUGUUUCCAGUGAGUUAUGGUGUGUUUGGUUCAGAGACAACUGACAAUUGGUCUUGGUUUUUUAGCAGACUUUAUCAAGCUAUUGGGUUACCUCUUGGACUUGUGAUCUCAACAAAUGCUGGAAAAGGUAUUGAUUCUGCUUUUACUCAAGUAUUUACAAGUGGCGUUGAGCAUAAAGAGUGCAUGAGUCAUUUAGUUGCAAAUUUCCAAAAGAGAUUUCGUGGAGAGGUCUUUGAGAAACACUUGUGGCUAGCAUGUAGAUCUUAUCAAAGACACAGGUUUGAAGAGCAUUUCAAUCUGAUGAAAGAAGCAUGUCUUGAAGCCAUGAAGUGGAUACAUGAUAACCAUAAGCACCUUCGGACAAGGCACCAGUUUUCUGAAGCAAGUAAGUGUUACUAUGUCACAAAUAACAUAGCUGAAACAUUCAAUUGCUGGAUUAGACAUGCAAAAUCCAUGCAUGUGGUUGAACUUAUGGAUACAAUUAGACAACUAUGCAUGGAACAAAUGUUCUUAAGAAGAAGAAUUUCCAAGGAGCUUGAAGGCAGGAUACUACCUAACAUUAUGAAGGACCUCAACGAAAGGAAUAGGGGCCUGAAAUAUGUAUGGAGGUAUUCACACAAAUAUGGUGGCAAAAAUGAUGAGAUGUUGGGUGAGGUAGAAGGUGUCACAAGAGAUCUGGUUCAUUGAAGAAAUGUUGUUGAUCUUCAGGAGAGGACAUGCACUUGUAGGCGUUGGUAAGUUACCGGUUUACCAUGUACAUAUGCUUUGUGUAUUAUCACUUCAAUUCGAGGUUAUAAAAAUUGCAGACUAUGUUUAUGAA